rnacentral:tRNA from 1 species
GCGUGAGUAGUACAGUGGUUAGUAUAUCUCGUUGCCAACGAGGUGACCCGGGUUCGACCCCCGGCUCGCGCA